rnacentral:rRNA from 1 species
AAUAGAUACCCCGGUAGUCCACGCCGUAAACGAUGUCGACUUGGAGGUUGUGCCCUUGAGGCGUGGCUUCCGGAGCUAACGCGUUAAGUCGACCGCCUGGGGAGUACGGCCGCAAGGUUAAAACUCAAAUGAAUUGACGGGGGCCCGCACAAGCGGUGGAGCAUGUGGUUUAAUUCGAUGCAACGCGAAGAACCUUACCUACUCUUGACAUCCAGAGAACUUGGCAGAGAUGCUUUGGUGCCUUCGGGAACUCUGAGACAGGUGCUGCAUGGCUGUCGUCAGCUCGUGUUGUGAAAUGUUGGGUUAAGUCCCGCAACGAGCGCAACCCUUAUCCUUUGUUGCCAGCGGUCCGGCCGGGAACUCAAAGGAGACUGCCAGUGAUAAACUGGAGGAAGGUGGGGAUGACGUCAAGUCAUCAUGGCCCUUACGAGUAGGGCUACACACGUGCUACAAUGGCGCAUCAAAAGNGAAGCGACCUCGCGAGAGCAAGCGGACCUCAUAAAGUGCGUCGUAGUCCGGA